rnacentral:rRNA from 1 species
ACCCGUUGAUCCUGCGGGAGGUUGCUGCUAUCGGGAUCCGAUUUAGCCAUGCAAGUUUGCUCUCGUUUACGGGAGCGGCAGACUGCUCAGUAACACGUCGAUAAUCUGCCCUUGGGUUUGGGAUAACUUCGGGAAACUGAAGAUAAUACCGAAUAUUGGAAAUAUACUGGAAUGUUUUUUCCUUUAAAGUUUCGACGCCCGAGGAUGAGUUGGCGGUGGAUUAGGUUGUUGGCGGGGUAAAGGCCCACCAAGCCGAAGAUCCAUAGGGGCCUUGAGAGAGGUAGCCUCGAGAAGGGUACUGAGACACUGACCCUAGCCCUACGGGGUGCAGCAGGCGCGAAACCUUUACAAUGCACGCAAGUGUGAUAAGGGGAUCCCGAGUGCUUUACUUAUUGUAAGGCCUUUGCCAAGAGUAAAUAUCUUGGCGAAUAAGUGGUGGGCAAGACUGGUGCCAGCCGCCGCGGUAACACCAGCGCCACAAGUGGUGACCGGAAUUAUUGGGCCUAAAGCGUUCGUAGCUGGUUUAGUAAAUCUUCUGUGAAAUCGUUUAGCUUAACUAAACGGCGUGCAAAAGACACUGCUAAACUCGAGACUGGGAGAGGUUAGAAGUAUUCUUGGGGAAGCAGUAAAAUGCUGUAAUCCCAAGAGGACUACCUGUGGCGAAGGCGUCUAACCAGAACAGAUCUGACAGUGAGGAACGAAAGCUGGGGGAGCGAACCGGAUUAGAUACCCGAGUAGUCCCAGCCGUAAACGCUGCGAGCCAGGUGUUGCACAUUUCUCGUAAAUGUGCAGUGUCGAAAUGAAGAUGUUAAGCUCGCCGCCUGGGAAGUACGGUCGCAAGACUGAAACUUAAAGGAAUUGGCGGGGGAGCACUACAAGGGGUGCGGCGUGCGGUUUAAUCUAACUCAACGCAGAGAAUCUCACCAAAGGCGACGGCAGGAUGAAAGUCAGGCUAACGGUCUUACUUGACAAGCCGAGAGGUGGUGCAUGGCCGCCGUCAGCUCGUGCUGUGAGGUGUCCUCUUAAGUGAGGUAACGAGCGAGACCUGUAUUCAUAAUUGCUAACGACUUCUUUGAAGGAUCGAGCACAAUAUGAAAACUGCCUUGGAAACAAGGAGGAAGGUGCAGGCUACGGUAGGUCUGUAUGCCCCGAAUCCUUUGGGCUACACGCGCGCAACAAUGGUAAGGACAAUAGGAUAGGACCCCGAGAGGGGGAUUUAAACCUCUAAACCUUACCUUAGUUCAGAUUGAGGGCUGUAACUCGCCCUCAUGGCGCUGGAAUCCCUAGUAAUCGGAUGUCAUCAUCGUCCGGUGAAUAAGUCCCUGCUCCUUGCACACACUGCCCGUCAAACCAACCGAGCAGGUUCUUGGUGAGGGUUAGCUUUAUUGGUUAAUUCGAAUCAAGGAUCAGUGAGGUGGGUUAAGUCGUCACAAGGUA